rnacentral:rRNA from 1 species
CCUACGGGAGGCAGCAGUGGGGAAUAUUGCGCAAUGGGCGAAAGCCUGACGCAGCAACGCCGCGUGAGGGAUGAAGGCCUUCGGGUUGUAAACCUCUUUUAGCAGGGAAGAAGCGAAAGUGACGGUACCUGCAGAAAAAGCACCGGCUAACUACGUGCCAGCAGCCGCGGUAAUACGUAGGGUGCAAGCGUUAUCCGGAAUUAUUGGGCGUAAAGAGCUCGUAGGCGGUUUGUCGCGUCUGCUGUGAAAAUCUGAGGCUCAACCUCGGACUUGCAGUGGG